rnacentral:tRNA from 1 species
GGACAUGUGCCCGAAAGAUAGGACCC